CCCGGUCACAGAGUUCAAAUGAAAAUUAAAAAAAAUCCUACCCAACUCCAAGCAAGCCGAGCAGACCGGUCCUGGCCUCAGACUCGUUCCCCCACCCAACCCUGCUGCUGUCGCUUCUUCCUCCUCCUCUCCCGAUUCCCUCUCCCCCACCCAACACCGCCGCCGCCGCCGCCGACCUCCUCCCUCGCACCCCGGCCAUCAGCGCCGGCGUCCACCGCUAUCGCUGCAGUCCCCAUCCUCUCCCCUUCUCGAUCUCGCUCCCGAUCCGGUCAGGCGGUGUGCAGAUCCGCCACCGCCUACUCCUCCACCCAACCAACCGCCACCGACCACCCACCGCCGUUUCUGACCUGGGUCGUCAUCCACAACCCCGUAGUGGCAGAGGAGGAGUCAGGGGCGCAACCCCUCGCGCCCCGAAACCCUAGCCUGCGGCUCCGCCUGACAACAGCCGCAUCCAUGGAGGUUCUCUCCCUCCUCGCGCCCCAAAACUCUAGCCCGCGGCAUGGCGACCGAGCUCAGGACCUCGACAAGAGUGGUACGUUUGGGGGCCAUGGAGGAGAAGCUGCUGCCCAUCAGAUCUGAGGAAGGAGGAUGCCCACCACCACCAGGCCGCUCAACCUCACCACCAUUUGUUGGCAAGGUGACCUCUUUCUCCCCCUUCAUUUUGUUCCUUUCGAUUCGAGGUUCCCUGCCCUAAUGACUGAUGUGGUCCGUUUCCUCACGCGUGGAGACCACCAUGUGGUGUGUGGUGGUGGAUUAUUCUUCCACUCCAACGACUCCCGCUGGUGGCCUCGAUUCUGCUUCCUCCCCGGCAUUAGGCGCAGGCGCCCUCCAUGGAAGACAUCGACGAGGCAUAUGCGGGGCCACACGCCCAAGCUGUCGAGCUUGAUGAGGAACAUCAUUGGGUCUUACUUCAACCUCGAGGUGAUGCCUAUGCUGACUCCCCACACAAGGUAAGCAACAUGAUAUGAUGAAGUACGCUAUGUCGCCACACAGCAGGUGGUUGUGCUCCUUGUUUCCUGGAGUAGACACAAGGCCAAAUGGUCAGCAUGUUGCCAGGGAGCCCUAGAAUGCCAAAAAGGGACAGUUUUGAAGCUAGACUCAGCUCACAACUCCUAUGAGGCUCUGGAACAAUGCAGGAAUGAAGAGAAGAGUCCUAUCAAGGGUCAAAGUACUUCCUCUCCUUCCACUUGGUCUACAACGGAUGCCAAAGUCCAAGAACCUCACCGGUCUGGAGAGCGCCAGCAUGCUGCAACAAGGGGAGUCCCAUCGGGGUUCAUCUCGCUCUAGGGCGAUUAAGCAACAAGAAUAGAGCACGAGGCUCUGAUACCAAUUGAAAGGAUCAAGAUGGACCUAGAGGGGGGGUGAAUAGGUACAAUUAUAAAUUUUAAUUAUUACUUAGCAAUUUUAGGCAAUAAUUCGAAAUAUGAAGGUGAGCUUAACAAUUGCAAGUGUAGUACUAAGUGCUAAGCAAGUAACACGAGUAUGUAAGUAAGCAAGCACAAUAUGAUAUAAGUAAGUGCCAAGAGACAAGUAACCACAAGUAGAGAGUUAGGGUUAGGAAUAACCGCAAUUCCGGGAGACGAGGAUGUAUGCCGAUGUUCACUUCCUUGGAGGGAAGCUACGUUA